rnacentral:rRNA from 1 species
UACGGAGGGGGCUAGCGUUGUUCGGAAUUACUGGGCGUAAAGCGCACGUAGGCGGCUUUGCAAGUCAGAGGUGAAAGCCCGGGGCUCAACCCCGGAAUUGCCUUUGAGACUGCAUCGCUAGAAUUGUGGAGAGGUAAGUGGAAUUCCGAGUGUAGAGGUGAAAUUCGCAGAUAUUCGGAAGAACACCAGUGGCGAAGGCGACUUACUGGACACAUAUUGACGCUGAGGUGCGAAAGCGUGGGGAGCAAACAGG